rnacentral:tRNA from 1 species
UCCCUAAUGGCUGAGAUGGUAAAGAAUCUGUCUGCAAUGUGGGAGACCCGGGCUUGAUCCCUGGUUUGGGAA